AAGGAGCUCACAGUCUAUUGGG
rnacentral:miRNA from 1 species